rfam:Xenopus laevis strain J chromosome 9_10L, whole genome shotgun sequence.
AUCGCUUCUCGGCCUUUUGGCUAAGAUCAAGUGUAGUACCUUCUUAUGAUCCUAUGUGAGGAAGAAGAAACACUU